rnacentral:rRNA from 1 species
GAUGAACGCUGGCGGCGUGCCUAAUACAUGCAAGUCGAGCGAACAGACGCGGAGCUUGCUCCUCUGACGUUAGCGGCGGACGGGUGAGUAACACGUGGAUAACCUACCUAUAAGACUGGGAUAACUUCGGGAAACCGGAGCUAAUACCGGAUAAUAUAUUGAACCGCAUGGUUCAAUAGUGAAAGACGGUUUUGCUGUCACUUAUAGAUGGAUCCGCGCCGCAUUAGCUAGUUGGUAAGGUAACGGCUUACCAAGGCAACGAUGCGUAGCCGACCUGAGAGGGUGAUCGGCCACACUGGAACUGAGACACGGUCCAGACGCCUACGGGAGGCAGCAGUAGGGAAUCUUACGCAAUGGGCGAAAGCCUGACGGAGCAACGCCGCGUGAGUGAUGAAGGUCUUCGGAUCGUAAAACUCUGUUAUGAGGGAAGAACAAAUGUGUAAGUAACUAUGCACGUCUUGACGGUACCUAAUCAGAAAGCCACGGCUAACUACGUG